AUGCCAUGGAAGAUAAGGUGUGCAAAUUGUAAUACUGAGAAAGUAUUAAAUAUUAGCUUUGAUAUAAGUUCACAAAAAACCAUAUAUAUCUAUUGUAAUGU
rnacentral:sRNA from 2 species